rnacentral:rRNA from 1 species
AAGGGAGCUUGCUCCCGGAUGUUAGCGGCGGACGGGUGAGUAACACGUGGGUAACCUGCCUGUAAGACUGGGAUAACUCCGGGAAACCGGAGCUAAUACCGGAUAGUUCCUUGAACCGCAUGGUUCAAGGAUGAAAGACGGUUUCGGCUGUCACUUACAGAUGGACCCGCGGCGCAUUAGCUAGUUGGUGAGGUAACGGCUCACCAAGGCGACGAUGCGUAGCCGACCUGAGAGGGUGAUCGGCCACACUGGGACUGAGACACGGCCCAGACUCCUACGGGAGGCAGCAGUAGGGAAUCUUCCGCAAUGGACGAAAGUCUGACGGAGCAACGCCGCGUGAGUGAUGAAGGUUUUCGGAUCGUAAAGCUCUGUUGUUAGGGAAGAACAAGUGCAAGAGUAACUGCUUGCACCUUGACGGUACCUAACCAGAAAGCCACGGCUAACUACGUGCCAGCAGCCGCGGUAAUACGUAGGUGGCAAGCGUUGUCCGGAAUUAUUGGGCGUAAAGGGCUCGCAGGCGGUUUCUUAAGUCUGAUGUGAAAGCCCCCGGCUCAACCGGGGAGGGUCAUUGGAAACUGGGAAACUUGAGUGCAGAAGAGGAGAGUGGAAUUCCACGUGUAGCGGUGAAAUGCGUAGAGAUGUGGAGGAACACCAGUGGCGAAGGCGACUCUCUGGUCUGUAACUGACGCUGAGGAGCGAAAGCGUGCGGAGCGAACAGGAUUAGAUACCCUGGUAGUCCACGCCGUAAACGAUGAGUGCUAAGUGUUAGGGGGUUUCCGCCCCUUAGUGCUGCAGCUAACGCAUUAAGCACUCCG